AACGAACGCUGGCGGCAGGCUUAACACAUGCAAGUCGAACGGAUCCUUCGGGAUUAGUGGCAGACGGGUGCGUAACGCGUGGGAACGUACCCUUUGCUACGGAAUAACUCAGGGAAACUUGAGCUAAUACCGUAUGUGCCCUACGGGGGCAAGAUUUAUCGGCACAGGAUCGGCCCGCGUUGGAUUAGCUAGUUGGUGGGGUAAUGGCCUACCAAGGCGACGAUCCAUAGCUGGUCUGAGAGGAUGAUCAGCCACACUGGGACUGAGACACGGCCCAGACUCCUACGGGAGGCAGCAGUGGGGAAUAUUGGAAAAUGGGCGCAAGCCUGAUGCAGCCAUGCCGCGUGAGUGAUGAAGGUCUUAGGAUUGUAAAGCUCUUUCACCGGUGAAGAUAAUGACGGUAGCCGGAGAAGAAGCCCCGGCUAACUUCGUG
rnacentral:rRNA from 1 species